UACGUAGGGACCAAGCGUUGUUCGGAUUUACUGGGCGUAAAGGGCGCGUAGGCGGCGUUUUAAGUCAGCUGUGAAAUCUCCGAGCUUAACUCGGAACGGUCAGCUGAUACUGAUGGGCUAGAGUGCAGAAGAGGCAGUCGGAAUUCUUGGUGUAGCGGUGAAAUGCGUAGAUAUCAAGAGGAACACCUGAGGUGAAGACGGGUGGCUGGGUUGACACUGACGCUGAGGCGCGAAAGCUAGGGUAGCAAACGGG
rnacentral:rRNA from 1 species